rnacentral:lncRNA from 1 species
CUAGAGUUCCCUAAGGGCCUCAACAAGAUACCGGACAUUGCUCACACCCAAGUUACAUUACCAGAAUAGAGAUGAGUGCAGUGUAGAAAUGACAACCUUUAUGUGUCCAAGUUCAAAGGGAGCUCUUAGGUCCCAAGGGAAGACUCACAUAGAGGGGACAUACCUUGAGUCUAGGAAGAUAGUGGAAGUGCAAGAAUAGGGGUUUUAUAACUGAAGAGAGCAAAAGAGAAAGGUAAAGGGUGAUAGGAAAGCAAUAACCAGUAACACAGAGAUGUUAACUCCAUGCAAGGGGUCAAGGAUUGGGGAUUCAUUGCAAAGAGCCUGUGUAAUUGAGCAAAUACCAGCUUUGGGAAUGAGCAACAAUAGAAGAUGUUGGCCUGCCUAUGAGCCAAUAAAAACACACAACAAAUAGAGGAACCACGAAGGUUAUGGUCCCAGAAGGACCAAGUUUGAGUCAUGGACAACAAUGUAUAAUGUUGCCAUGCCCCAUACCAAUCACAGUCAUCAAACAUAUUAGGGAUGGAGAUUUAAGAUGCUCAAACUAUGAUAAAGAGACACUAAUUAAGAACAAAGAAGGCAGAAUGCAACAUGCUUAACAAUAGAAAUCAACUAAAUACAACAGGAGAUAGGCAAGAGGAAAUACACAAUAAAGAAACCUGUUGUCGUUGAUGCUGAAAACUUAAUUAGAAC